rnacentral:rRNA from 1 species
UACAGAGGGUGCGAGCGUUAAUCGGAGUUACUGGGCGUAAAGGGCGCGUAGGCGGUUAUAUAAGUGAGAAUGUGAAAUCCCUGGGCUUAACCUAGGAACUGCAUCUCAUACUGUAUGACUGGAGUAUUGUAGAGGGUUAGUGGAAUUUCCGGUGUAAGCGGUGAAAUGCGUAGAGAAUCGGAAGGAACACCAGUGGCGAAGGCGGCUACCUGGACAAAUACUGACGCUGAGGCGCGAGAGGCGU